CUCUUCCCGUGUGGAACCCAGGGUUCAAAUGGCUGAGCGGGAAGCGCUCUAGUAGGGACUCUGGCAACUCUGUUUUCUCCUUCUCUUCCUUUUCACCCAAUAAUACCCUGUCUUACUCAUUAUUUCAAAUUGUCUAAGAGCCUGAAUUUUCGUGGCUCUAGGGCAAAGAACCCCGUCUUUAACUGAACUAAGGAAAAGUCCUACAACAUUUUUGGCACGCAACGUGGGAGCUCGAGAAGCGAAAAUGUUUUACUAAGCCAGACCCCCUGUCGGCCCUCCCGCGCACUCCUUUCCCCCAGCAAACUGUCACCAGUCCAUGUUAUAUCACUGCCCAUAUGCUGGACACUGGAGGUCACAAAAUCUCCUAAAACUUUUGGCAACAAGAAACCUAGAGUUUGUUUGUAACAUUCGGCAAUUUGUUUACCUUACAAUUAUGGUACACUUCACUGCCUUGAUGAUCGAUGUAUUGCUAAUGAGAAUGAAAGAAGAAAAGGAAAAUGAGCCACUUUAAGAGAACUAAUCUAUGUCUCCUCAUUUAAGGAAUACAUCUACUGAAGCAGUCUACUCCUGCCACCAAAGUAUAAAAGCUGGACAAACAACAUAACGGAAAUCAUUUGAAGGCAUUUGAAAGUGACCACCAUUCAUAGUUCUUUAAGGGUUAUAAACCCUGAGAGAUAAAAGGAAUCAAUAGAACCCAUACUUAUGGCAACAUUUCUCCUUUAGAGUAUUUUCAGCUUACUGUGUGGAAUAGAUUCAGAGAAGAAAGCCAAAGUCUCCCUGGGCUGAGGAAACAUUGGAUUUUCAGUACAGUCACAGCAGCUGUGAUUUCAGGGGACAAAAAUCUCAAGGAAUGUAUAUAACUGAACCCCAAAAUCUGUAUUCCAUUUUUUUUUAGACUUUUUCAACUCUGAAGCUGUACAGGGAAAGCUCUAAGAAGCCCAACCAAAAGCAGCAGUUUAGACUGUGUGAAAGCACUGAACACGUUUCAAUAGUUAACUGAAUGAGUAGGCUUGGCAAAUAUUCUAUGCUCUCAGCUAUAUCCUAGAAGUAUGGGACUAUAUCCUAGAAGUAUAUAGGGUAUAUAGAAGUAUCCUAGAAGUAUAUAUGGGACUAUAUCCUUAGAAGUAUGAUCCAUACCCUUGAAGUAAGAGAAAAACUGAAAAAAACAACAAGAACCAAUUUUGAACUGAAAAUAUUUCAGAAAAAAAUUGCAUCUGCACUUAACAUGUACAGAUUAUUUUUCUGGUCAUUAUUCCAUAAACAAUACAGUGUAACAACUAUUACAUAGCAUGCACAUUUUAUUAGGUAUAAUAGGUAAUCUAUAUACAUAUAUGCCCUGGAAUCUACUUUUUCUAAUACUAAUAUAGCCACUCAAGCUACCUUAAGAUUAGUUUUAGAAUAGUACAUUCUAAUAGUACAUUCUUUUUCAUCCUUUUUUUUUUUUAACAUAUAGUUGUCCCUCCAGUAUCCGUGGAUUAUUGGUUUUAGGUCAUAUAUAUUAUAUAUAUAUACAUAUAUAUAUAAAUAAUAUGUAUUUUAUAGAUAUAUAAUAUAUAUGUGUAUUGUCAGGGAUAAUAUGAGUCAUUUCAUAAUGAUAAAUCAAUCAAUCUUUAGUUGCCUGAUAGAAGAGCUCCAAAAUAAAUGAAGCAAAAACUAAUAGAACUGCAAGAAAAUAUAGACAAAUCAACAAGUAUAUUCAAAGAGCUUAGCACCACUCUUAAUAGCUGAUAGAACAAGUAGACACAAAUUAGUAAUUAUGCAGAAGACAUGAACAAUAUAGUCCACCAACUCGAUCUAAAUAACAUUAAUCGAACACUCCACUGAGGAGAGUAGAAAUUCUUUUAAGGUACACACACAAAGAAAUCAGCAAGAUGAAACAUCUUCUGGGACAAACAAAAAUAAAACUCAUCCAUUUUUUGAGAGUCCAAAGCAGGAGGUUUUCUUGAGGCCAGAGGUUUGAGAACAGCUUGAGCAACAUUGCAAGACCUUGUCUCUACAAAAAAAUUAAAAGAAAAAAAUUUUCCAGGUGUGGUGGUGUGUGCCUAUAGUCCUAGCUACAUGGGAAGCUCAAUCAGGGGUGGUUUGAGCCCAGGAGUUAAAGAUUGCAGUGAGCUGUUUUCAUGCCACAGCAUUCAAGCCUGAAUGACAGAGCAAGAAUCUGUCUUUAAAAACAAAACAAAACAAAAUACAAAAAAAAUUCAAUGAAUUCAAAUGCAUAUCAGUCCUCCAAUGCUUUGUUACUCUUCUUAUCACAAUGGAACUAAAUUGGAAAUAAAAAAUGGAAUGUUCUCUUGAAAAAAAACCUUAAAAUAUUUGUAAACUAUAGAACAGAAUUCCAAAUAAGCCAUUGGUUAAAAAUUAAAUCAACAGAUUAAAAAAAAAUGAAAAAAAAGAAGAAAAAAUAUCUUAUUAUUUUCUGAUAUCGAAGAGUUCUUUCAGCAUUAUAGAAUUGAAAGUAAUAAAUUUAGGCCGAGUAUGUCAAUUUGAUCACUUUUUACAACACUGUAUUUUGUACAUAUCAUUUUGUAACCAAGUUACUCAAUAAAGAAAUGAGCAAGGUAGUUGUGUUAAUCACAGUGUGUGAACUCCAAAAGUGUCCAAUAAAAAUGUCUUAAUUUUUAUUUGCAAAUGCUUUUUCUCCUGUAAGUAGUGGAGACUAUUUUACCUCCUCUUAAGUCUAAGCUGAUUUAGUGACUUGUUUGCCCAAUAGAAGGGGAAAGAAUCAGCACAAUGCCAUUUCCAGAUCAAGCUUUAAGAAAUCUAUCAGUUACCCUAUUACACUCUCAGAGCCCUGAGCCACCAUGCUCUGAUGAAGUCCAACCUAAAGCCGUGUAAAGAUGCAGUGUAGAAGGGAAUCAAGGCAGCUUGGUCAAAAACCCCAGCCAAACACUAGCUCAGUACAGAUGCAAGUGACCCAGGUGAAAUGAGACCAGCUGAACAACUGUCCAGUCAACCCACUGUAUUAUAAGAAAUAAGUUGUUAAUUCUUUAAAUUUUGGACUGUUUUGAUAUACAACAACAGUAAAUGAUACACUAUAAUUUCAAUUAUAGUUCAGGGAAACAAACUAUGGAAAAUACAUGAUUGAGUGAGAAAUUGUUUUAUGGACAUCUUAUUUUAAUGUUACAACAAAAUUCUAGAAAAUAAUAACAUGCUCAAUAUAUACAACAAUACAGACAUUAGUAUGACAUGUAUUGUUUAUUGUAUGUAAUGUAGAUUGAUGAUUAUGUUUUAUCAUUCUAAUCAAGUCACUUAUCUGUAAAAUUGAAAACUCCAUUAUUUUCAUAAUGUUAUAUUGAUAAUUUUUUUUUUUUUUUUUGGAAAACUCAUAAAGUCUUCUUUGUUGAUUGAUAUUGUUUGGCUGUGUCCCCACCCAAAUCUCAUCCUGAACUCCCAUGUGCUGUGGGAGGGACCUGGUGGGAGGUAAUUGAAUCAUGGAGAUGGGUCUUUCUUAUGCUGUUCUUGUGAUGGUGAAUAAGUCUCAUGAAAUCUGAUGGUUUUAAAAAUGAGAGUUUCCUGCACAAGCCCACUCUCUUUACCUGCUGCUAUCCAUGUAAGAAGUGAAAUGCUUCUCCUUGCCUACUGCCAUGAUUAUGAGGCCUCCCCAGCCACAUGGAUCUGUAAGUCCAUUAGACCUCUUUCUUUUGUAAAUUGCCCAGUCUUGGGUAUGUCUUUAUCAGCAGCAUGAAAACAGACUAAUACAGUAAAUGAGUACCAGUAGAGUAGGGAGCUGCUGAAGAGAUAUCUGAAAAUGUGGAAGCAACUUUGAAACUGGGUAACAGGCAGGGGUUGGAACAGUUUGGAGGGCUCAGAAAAAGAAAGGAAAAUGUGGGAAAGUUUGGAACUUCCUAGAGACUUGUUUAAUGGCUUUGCUCAAAAUGCUGAUAGUGAUAUGGACAACGAAAUCCAGGUUGAGGUGGUCUCAGAUGGAGAUGAGGUACUUGUUGGGAACUGGAGCAAAGAUGACUCUUGUUAUGUUUUAGCAAAGAGACUGGCGCAGUAUUUUGCCCCUGCCCUAGAGAUUUGUGGAACUUUGAACUUGAGAGAGAAGAUUUAGGGUAUGUGCUGGAAGAAAUUUCUAAGCAGCAAAGCAUUCAAGAGGUGACUUGGGUACUGUUAAAAGCAUUCAGUUUUAUACGGGAAGUGGAGUACAAACAUUUGGAAAAUUUGCAGCCUGACAAUGCGAUAAAAAAGUAAAUCCCAUUUUCUGAGGAGAAAUUCAAGCUGGCUGCAGAAAUUUGCAUAAGCAAUGAUAAGCCAAAUGUUAAUCCCCAAAAGAAGUGGGGGAAAUGUCUCCAGGGCAUGUCACAGGCCUUCACAGCGGCCCCUCCCAUCACAGGCCCAGAGUUCUAGGAGAAAAAAGUGGUUUUGUGGGCUGGGUCCAGGGUCCAUGUGCUAUGUGUAGCCUAGAGACUUGGUGCCUUGCAUCCCGGCCACUCCAGCCAUGGCUGAAAUGGGCCAACAUAGCACUUAAGCCAUGGCUUCAGAGGGUGCAAGCCCCAAGCCUUGGCAGCUUCUACGUGGGUGCACAGAAGUCAAAAAUUGAGGUUUGGGAACUUCUGCCUAGAUUAUAGAAGAUAUAUGGAAAUGCCUGGAUGCCCAGGCAGAAGUUUGCUGUAGGGGCAGGGUCCUCAUGGAGAAUCUCUGCUAGGGAAGUGCAGAGGGGAAAUGUGGGGUUGGAGCCCCCAAACAGAAUCACUAUUGGGGCACUGACUAGUGGAACUGUGAGAAGAGGACCACCAUCCUCCAGACCCCAGAAUGAUAGAUCCACCAACAGCUUGCACCGUGCACCUGAAAAAGCCACAGACACUCAAAGCCCACUCAUGAAAGCAGCCAGGAGGGAGGCUGGACCCUGCAAAGCCAAAGAGUCAGAGCGGCCCAAGACCAUGGGAAUCCACCUCUUGCAUCAGCGUGACCUGGAUGUGAGACAUGGAGUCAAAAAAUAUCAUUUUGGAACUUUAAGAUUUGACUGUCCUGCUAGAUUUCAGACUUGCAUGGGUCUUGUAGCCCCUUUGUUUUGGCCAGUUUCUCCCAUUUGGAAUUACUGUGUUUACCCAGUUCCUGUACCCUCAUAGUAUCUAGGAAGUAACUAGUUUGCUUUUGAUUUUACAGGUUCAUAGGCAUAAUGGACUUUCCUUGUCUCAGAUGAGACUUUGGACUGUGGACUUUUGAGUUAAUGCUGAAAUGAGUUAAGACUUUAGGGGACUGUUGGAAAGGCAUGAUUGGUUUUGAAAUGUAAGGACAUGAGAUUUGGGAGGGUCCAGGGGAGGAAUGAUAUGGUUUGGCUGUGUCCCCACCUAAAUCUCACCCUGAAUUCUCUCAUGUUGUGGGAGGGACCUGGUGGGAGGUAAUUGAAUCAUGGGAGGGAUUCUUUCCCAUGCUGUUCUCAUGAUAGUGAAUAAGUCUCCUGGGAUCUGAAGGUUUUAAAAACAAGAGUUUCCUGUACAAGCUCUCUCUCUUUGCCUGCUGCCAUCCAUGUAAGACAUGACUUGCUCCUCCUUGCUUUCCACCAUGAUUGUGAGGCCUCCCCAGCCAUGUGGAGCUGUAAGUCCAUUAAACCUUUUUCUUUUGUAAAUUGCCCAGUCUCGGGUAUGUCUUUAUCAGCAGUGUGAAAACAGACUAAUACAUUUGUUAAAUUUCAUUUCCCAUAAGCAUAGAUAAUUUUAGAAACUUACUUGAGUAUGGCAUUUGUGUUAGUAGUCAACAAAGAUUAAACCUAGACAAUCAUUAGACGCAUGGAUACCUAGGAGAGAAACUCUGCUGAACAAAGAAGAUAAACAAUAGACACACAAACAUGGUCAAUCAUAAUCUGAUUCCAGCAUACUUUUUCAUGUUUUUACAAACUUAUUGUUUGGUUUAAAUUUAUGCACACAGAGAAAUUAUUGCAAAUAUUUGAAUAAAUCAUGCUGCCUCAACCUGUAUUUCUUAAUAUAUGUACUGCUGCUUUCCUUUACAAGGCUUACUUUUACAGGCAUAGCUGAAAUACCCCUAGUUCAAAAAAGCCUUCAACUCUCCUUUCUCAAAAACAGAAUUGGUAAUUUUCCCCAUUUUGUCACAGCUGUAAAUUUUACAUGUUUUAAUCCCUUACAUGUUAUGAAAAUAUUUUGCAUUUCACAAUCUGUUAUUGGAGUAAGUUUUUUGAGGGUAGGAUCCAUGAUAUGUUUAUUAAUGCCUAUUACUAGGGCCAGAGUAUAUUAGGUAACCAGUAGAAAUAUGAUGAAUGAAUUAAAUGAUAGCAGAAAACCCAUACAGCUAAAUAAUUAACUACUGAAAUGAAAUACAUUCAAGUAAUACAUAUAAUUUUGGUAGAAGUUGGUAAAAAUAUUCAAAUGUGAAGAGUAGUUGGUUUUUACCAUGUUUUUAGCAAAAUAAGAAAAGGGUUCCCAAUAUAGCACUAAGCGUUAAUGUGUACACAAAAUCAGAUGAUACUCAAAUAUAGCUUUGUAACAUAUAUGUCUAAUACAAACAAUAGAAUAAGCUGUAGGGAAACCAAUUUUGGGACAUCCUAAUAUGUUCAGGUAAGGAGAUGAUUACAUGAAGAUCCUGAGCAGACACCACCCUUGCCCUCAGUCCUGUGUAAAUUUGUGAGGCAGCACUUCUACUGCCUCAUGGUUUGUGGCAUUCCAGGCACCUGAAGUGAAUCAUUCAGAUGGAGGUAGUGGUGUAAGGCAGUUUUGCAGUAUGAAGCUACAAUAGAAGACCCAUCAAUCAAAUGAAUGGAACCCUGACUCAACAGAGAAGUAAAUUCUUGGUAACCACGGGGAUGUAAACCAAAAAUAAAAUUCUAAGCACCUCCCCCCAACCAUCUGAAUGGACUUAUUGCUCACCCAGGACUCUUAAAAUUUAACCUGAGAGACUGUUUCAGGCCAUGAUGGGAAGUGGGGGUCAGAUAUGCCUCAUUAUACUUCUCUGGCAUUAACAUCGACACAGACUUCAAGUCUGAUAAGAAACAUUUUACAACCUAUUCUCUCUGAAGCCUGCUACCUUAGGGCUUCCUGUGCAAAUAAGAACUUUGGUCUCUACAAUCCUGUAUCUUAACCCAGAGAUUCCAUUCUGUUGAUCCCAGGUCUUUAAAUAAACUCAACCAAUUGUCAACCAGAAAGUUUUAAAAUCUACCCAUAAGCUGGAAGCCCCCACUUUCUGGACCAAACCAAUGUAUUUCUUAAGUGUAUUUGAUUGAUGCCUCGUGCCUCCCUAACAUGUAUAAAACCAAGCUGCACCCAGACUACCUUGGCCACAUGUUCUCAGGACCUCCUAAUGGCUGCGUCAGAGGUCAUGGUCACUCAUAUUUGGCUCAGAAUAAGUCUCUUCGAAUAUUUUACAGAGUUUGACUCUUUUCAUUGACAGAGAAAAGGCAAUAAAAUAAAGAUUCUGUUAUAAGGCAAUAAAAUAAAGAUUCUGUUAUCCUUUUUAUCUUGGCAUUUAUUCUCAUUAACACACUCCUAACUAAUGGUCCCUGUCAUAGGAGAACAAGGUCAGAUUGAAAACAGUAUGCAAGAGGUGAACAAAGAGUUUUUAGAUUAGUCUAUGAGGAGACUAUAAAACCAGUAGAAAGAGACAGAAGACAAGAUGAAACUUUUUAAGACUAUCCAUAUAAAGUCAUGAUAGAUCCUUGGGAAAAACCAUGAGCUCAUGUUCACUGACUUUGUAAGAGGCUCUAAUGGCCAUUGUUUAAACUCAUUUAAGCCAUGCCAGAUGACAGCUUUAUCCAAAAAUGAUGGAUUUAUGAAGUUCAUUUGUGUGUGAGACUAAAUAUCUGUUUUUCUCAAAGCAUAAUUUCUAAGUGUUAAAUGAAUUCUCCAUAGAACUCACAAGAGAUGUUUGACCUCAACUGGAUGCCAUUACAGGUUUAGUAAAAUCAUUAAUGAGUAAAAGAUUAAGCGAUCACAGUAUUAGCUAAAUACUUAGCUAACUCAGCAAUGACAUUUACCAAGCUCAUUUUCUUAUUUUAAGAAGAUUACAAAAAAAUGUAAACAUUAAACUAUUCUUCACUAAGACAGCUAAUGGUUCAUUGGAGCUGCAAUGGUUUCCAAUAAAGAUAAGAGGAAAAUAAGCCUUUUUUUCAGUCAUUUUACUGUGAUAAACUAUAUCUAAGAAACUAAUAUUGAUAAUAAAAGGAAUAAUACAUUAUUUUGUGUACUGGAGAGGUAGAAAGGAACCUCAUAUACAAAGGGGAAAUAUUAAUAGGUAAGAUCUUUUUUAUGAGAAGUGAGUUUUUGCAACUUUAUUUUACCUUUUUCCAGAAAAAAGAUAGAAAUCGUAAUUAAUAUCUAAAGUUUUGUAUUUAUUCUUCUGAACUUGAAUUUUAUUUAAUGUACAGAAUAAGUAAUUUCUACAAAGACCAAAAUGUUGGUGUGUUGUUGAAGGCAUGUCCUGCAUUUAAUUUUGCUCUGUAGUCCACCUUGGCCAAAUGGAGCUAAAGUACUGACAGCUCUUAGUCACGUUUAUUCUUAGUGAACUAUUCUAUUCUCAGUGAACUAGCCCCAGUCUCUAGGAUUGUCCCUCUCAUGCCCCUUUACUCUGCUCUUUCUUUCUUCAACUAAAUUCUUCUGCCUAAAGCAUGUUGGAGCUGGGAUUUCAGAAACAAUGAAUGUUUAAGUAUUAGCAUGCAGGGUAUUUAUAAUAUGAAUUAUAAUAUAUCUAUUCACACUAUGUGUUCUUUCAGAAAUAAUUAAUAGUACCUAAAAGAUAAAUUUAUCUUGAAUUUAAUCAGCUUCUUUAUCAAUUCAUAGUAGAUGACAACACAUAAAUGUGUAAGAGAUGAACAAGGUAUUGCAGAAGGUGGAAGAAUAGCGUUUGAUACAAGAAAGAGAAUAUCUUUGCAUAUAUUAUUUUAAUAGGUAGUAUGAUAUAGAUUAUUUCAUACACUGAUCAACACCUUCCCUGAUGCAUCUAUAUUAAUCUACAUGCAUGGUUUACUUAUGGAUAUGUAAAGGCAGUAAUGAAACGGGUUUGGUCCAGGAAGAGCUAAGGAAGCAGUGCACUUUGGGAGUUGUAGUACUUCAUUCAGUGUUUCUGGCUGUAGAAAAAUGUCGUUGAUAUCUGGGAAUAAACCUCUUUCUCAUAAGAAAAUAAUCAAGGACUGUUACUUUCAAUCAAUCAUCCAGUUAAAAUCUGAAAUGAUAAUAAUAAACAAAAAACCUCUAAAAUUGGUCUGACACAAUUUUGAAUUUAAGGGAUAAAAGAUUUCUGGAACAUAGGGGAAGAAAAUAGAAGGUUUCCUACAAAACAAGGAAAGUCAUUCUUUACACAGGAACACUGAAUACUAAAAUUCUAGAACAAUGACAGAUAUUUUUAGGGAAAAAUGUUGUGAUUCAAUAUAACAUACUCUUUAUGAUAUUGUAUUUCAUAUGUUUAUGAAACAGAAGGACUUGCUUUCGUAUAUAAUAACUCAGAUAUACACACAUCUCUAUAAUAUGUAAAAUGGAAUUUAGUCAAUGGAAUUUGAGAGAGAAAUCAAGUAAAUAAUUCAUGAUUAGGGAUGUUAUUAUAAAAGUAGAAGCAGUGAAUAUUGAAAUUGAAUAACAAAAACUUCACUCUAAAUAAAUGUUAUGAAUAUGGAUACAAAUAUGAUUACAAAUAAAAAUAUAAGUAUGCAUAAAGAGUUAUAAAAUACUUCUCAGUAAUCACUGAAGUAUCCAAAUCAUUCCAUUAUGAAUAUUGUCAUUGCUCCUAAGUAUGCUAUCGUGUAUGGGUUAUUUUCUUCCAUGAGGCAUUUGUAUUUGAUGUCUGCAGGCUCUACAUACCGGGGAACACUUUGCAAUAAAUAUCUAUCCAUUUGAUGUUUUGGAUACUACCCAGGUAGGUCCCAAAUAUAUAUAAGGCCACAACGUUACAGAAAGUUUUUAUCCUUUUUCAGGUGAGAUAUAAUUUUUCCCACCACCUAGUGCCUUGCUGGCUCUUCUGCUAACUUUCCCAUGUGAUCUCUCCAAGCAAACACUGAACUUUUCCCUCUAUUCCCACAUACUUCACAGACAUUAAAACACAAGCUCGAAGUCAGCAAAGAUUGGCAUGGGCCUUCAGGGACUCACAGGCUUUUGAGUUUUUUACCUCUAUGGAUUUCUGCCUUCAUUCAUAUAUUUGGCAUAUAGUAGUUUUCUUUACAUUCUUUUUAGCUCAGAAAUACAUUGAAAAAUAUACUUUUUAUGAAGUUUCCCUUAUGCAGAAUAAAUAAGUUCUGGAGAUUUAAUGUAAAGCAUGGUGACUAUAGUUUAGAACAUUGUAUUGUAUACUUGUAAUUUGCUGAAAAAGAUCUUACAUAUUCUCACCCUACACACAAAAUAUGGUAACUCUGUAAAGUGAUGUCUAUAAUAAUUAACUUGAUUGUGGUACAUUUGACAAUAUAGACAUAUGUCAAAACAUCAUGUCAUGUACCUUAAAUAUAUACAAUUUAUAUUUGCCAAUUGUACCUCAAUAAAGCUGGAAAG
rnacentral:lncRNA from 1 species